rnacentral:lncRNA from 1 species
UCUCUCUACGGUGGAAAAGUCUAGUUCUUUUCUUUCAUUUUUGUUCUAAAGUUUCACGUGUUGUGUAAAUGUAGCCCUUUACACUCAUUUAUUGAUUUUUGAUGCCGUGAUGGGUUGUGGGUUCUUUUUGUUAUUUUAGCGCUGUAUAAUUAAGGUUUAUUCUACAAAUCCAUUGUGUCUCUAUGCACCAAAUCUGGAAAAUUUCAAGUCUUGUGAGACUGAUUUAUGCAAAAAUUCUCUUACUACAUCAAUUGCAAUUACCAAAUUUAGUAGUGGAGAAUUAUUCAAAAGAUCUAAUCAUCUAAUAUAGUGUAGCUCUAAGUUAUUAUGUACACAUCCUCUCUUGAUGAAGAUAUAUUACCAGGUAUCUUUAAUGUUAUCUCUUUGGCGGACCUUGCAGGGCAGAACUAUCAUUUGCUUUAAAUCUCAAUACUCAAUAUUAAGUUGCAUGUAACUUUACAAACUUUAUAAACAAAGAGAGAGAUAGAGAGCAGUACGUAAUUAAUUAUUUUUAUCACUUGUACAAACGCUACGGAAUCAUGAUAAUUGUAAGAUAAAGCUCACUUGCAUACGCAGAACCCAUCUUAAUUAUUCUUUAAUAUUUCAUUUCUUUGAUUCUUUCCCAGAAUGGUCCACAGGUGAAGCUUGGCUUGAUUCUUCAGAAUGUAUCUUCUUAGCCAUCCACGAGACAGAGCCACUCGAUUUUUUCUCUUCUGAACGAUCAUCAGUCCCUUCAAUCUUGGCUCCAUCUUCUUGCAUUUUCUUCAUUUUCUCCUUAUGAGCCUUCAUUGACACAUAUGCCUCUGCAAGAGAGCAUCCAGCAGGAGUUGCCAUGGACUGCAGCAAAAGUUUUGUGAUAUAUAUCUAAAUGAUUUGUAUUACAACUUUGAUUGCUUUGUGUAAAUGAUGAUGAGCUUAAUUUAUAGAGGUUUUGGAACUUGGCUGUCAAGCAAUCGUCACCUUCUUUAGUAUUUUAACUUAUCAUUAAGUGAUUUUGAUUAAACAAUUUCAAGUUUUUCUUCAGAAUUCAGACUUGGACAAAGUUAAAGUAGGGACAUUCUGAAUGGUCC